rnacentral:sRNA from 1 species
GCUGGGUGUGGUGGUGCAUGCCUGUAAUCCCAGCAGCUUGGGAGGCUGAGGCAGGAGGAUCACAAGUUCAAAGCCAGUCUCAGCAACUGCAAGGCACUAGGCAACUCAGUGAGACCCUGUCUCUA